rnacentral:rRNA from 1 species
GAUGAACGCUGGCGGCGUGCCUAAUACAUGCAAGUAGAACGCUGAAGGAGGAGCUUGCUCUUCUGGAUGAGUUGCGAACGGGUGAGUAACGCGUAGGUAACCUGCCUGGUAGCGGGGGAUAACUAUUGGAAACGAUAGCUAAUACCGCAUGACAACAGUUAUUGCAUGAUAACUGUUUAAAAGGGGCAACUGCUCCACUACCAGAUGGACCUGCGUUGUAUUAGCUAGUUGGUGAGGUAACGGCUCACCAAGGCGACGAUACAUAGCCGAGCUGAGAGGGUGGACGGCCACAAUGGGAAUGAGAAACGGCCCAGACCCCUAAGGGAGGCAGCAGUAGGGAAUCAUCGGAAAUGGACGGAAGUCUGAACGAGCAACGCCGGGUGAGUGAAGAAGGUUUUCGGAUCGUAAAGCUCUGUUGUAAGAGAAGAAAGAGUGUGAGAGUGGAAAGUUCACACUGUGACGGUACCUUACCAGAAAGGGACGGCUAACUACGUG